GACGAACGCUGGCGGCGUGCCUAACACAUGCAAGUGGAGCGACGAACCAGGCUUCGACCUGGGGCAAAGCCGCGAACGGGUGAGUAACACGUGGGUAACCUGCCCCGAUGAUUGGGACAACCCGAGGAAACUCGGGCUAAUACCGAAUGUGCCCUCCGACCGCAAGGUCACUGGGGAAAGGAAGCUUCGGCCUCCGCAUCGGGAUGGGCCCGCGGCCCAUUAGCUUGUUGGUGAGGUAACGGCUCACCAAGGCGACGAUGGGUAGCUGGUCUGAGAGGACGAUCAGCCACACUGGGACUGAGACACGGCCCAGACUCCUACGGGAGGCAGCAGUGGGGAAUCUUGCGCAAUGCGCGAAAGCGUGACGCAGCAACGCCGCGU
rnacentral:rRNA from 1 species